UACAGAGGUGGCAAGCGUUGUUCGGAAUUACUGGGCGUAAAGGGCGCGUAGGCGGUCCCGUCAGUCCCUUGUGAAAUCCCCGGGCUCAACCUGGGAAUGGCAUUUGGGACUGCAAGGCUGGAGUACGGCAGAGGAGACUGGAAUUCCUGGUGUAGCAGUGAAAUGCGUAGAGAUGUGGAGGAAUACCGAUGGCGAAGGCAGCCCCCUGGGCCAAUACUGACGCUCAUGCACGAAAGCGUGGGGAGCAAACAGG
rnacentral:rRNA from 1 species